GACGAACGCUGGCGGCGUGCUUAACACAUGCAAGUCGAACGGUAAGGCCCUUCGGGGUACACGAGUGGCGAACGGGUGAGUAACACGUGGGUGAUCUGCCCUGCACUUCGGGAUAAGCCUGGGAAACUGGGUCUAAUACCGGAUAGGACCACUGCCUGCAUGGGUGGUGGUGGAAAGCUUUUGCGGGGUGGGAUGGGCCCGCGGCCUAUCAGCUUGUUGGUGGGGUGAUGGCCUACCAAGGCGACGACGGGUAGCCGGCCUGAGAGGGUGACCGGCCACACUGGGACUGAGAUACGGCCCAGACUGCUACGGGAGGCAGCAGUGGGGAAUAUUGCACAAUGGGCGAAAGCCUGAUGCAGCGACGCCGCGUGAGGGAUGACGGCCUUCGGGUUGUAAACCUCUUUCAGCACCGACGAAGCGCAAGUGACGGUAGGUGCAGAAGAAGGACCGGCCAACUACGUGCCAGCAGCCGCCGUAA
rnacentral:rRNA from 1 species